CAUGCAAGUCGAGCGAAGCUUUUCAGUAGUUUACUACAGAAAAUGACUGAGCGGCGAACGGGUGAGUAACGCGUGAGCAAUCUACCUUAGUUACAGGGAUAGCCCGAGGAAACUCGGAUUAAUACCUGAUAUUCUUUAUUUCUCGCAUGAGAAUAAAAGGAAAGGUCAGCCGAACUAAGAUGAGCUCGCGUUCUAUCAGCUAGUUGGUGAGGUAAAAGCUUACCAAGGCUACGACGGAUAGCUGGUCUGAGAGGACGAUCAGCCACACUGGGACUGAGACACGGCCCAGACUCCUACGGGAGGCUGCAGCAGGGAAUAUUGUGCAAUGAACGAAAGUUUGACACAGCGACACCGCGUGUGGGAUGACGGAUCUAGGUUUGUAAACCACUUUCAGGAGGGAAGAAAAUGACGGUACCUCCACAAGAAGCCCCGGCCAACUACGUGCCAGCAGCCGCGGUAAUACGUAGGGGGCGAGCGUUGUCCGGAUUUAUUGGGCGUAAAGAGCUCGUAGGCGGUUCAACAAGUCGGUAGUAAAAGUUCAGGGCUCAACCCUGAAAUGUCUAUCGAUACUGUUGUGACUAGGAUACGGCAGAGGUGAGUGGAAUUCCGAGUGUAGCGGUGAAAUGCGUAGAUAUUCGGAGGAACACCAAUUGCGAAGGCAGCUCACUGGGCCGCUAUCGACG
rnacentral:rRNA from 1 species